ensembl:snRNA U6 U6 spliceosomal RNA
GUGCUUCAGCAGCAUAUAUACUAAAAUUGGAAUGACACAGAGAAGAUUAGCAUGGCACCUGCGCAAGGAUGACAUAUACAUUUGGGAAGCAUUCUGUAUUUUU